AAUAUUGCGCAAUGGAGGGAACUCUGACGCAGCGACGCCGCGUGAGUGAAGAAAGUCUUCGGAUCGUAAAGUUCUGUCCUUGGGGAAGAAGGGGGCCUUAAGGCUGCCUGACGGUACCCAUGGAGGGAGCCCUGGCUGACUACGUUCCUCCAGCCGCGGUAAUACGGAGGGGGCAAGCGUUGUCCGGAAUUAUUGGGCGUAAAGGGUGCGUAGGCGGCCCUUUAAGUCAGAUGUGAAAGCCCACGGCUUAACCGUGGGACUGCAUUUGAAACUGGAGGGCUUGAGUGUCGGAGAGGGCAGUGGAAUUCCCAGUGUAGCGGUGGAAUGCGUAGAUAUUGGGAGGAACACCAGUGGCGAAGGCGACUGCCUGGACGAUAACUGACGCUGAGGCACGAAAGCUAGGGGAGCAAACA
rnacentral:rRNA from 1 species